UCCAAGAUCUAUGACUUCACUAUACCUGG
rnacentral:piRNA from 1 species